CAGGUGUCUCCACCGUGGACUCCACCUCCAACCCUGCUCUCCAGGACCCACAUAAAGAGAGACGGACGGAGAGAGCAGCGUCCUCUUCACAGAGACACCAACAGAAGAAUCACCAGAGAGCCUGAGCAGCAGCCUUCAUCCUCCUCAUCCUCCAUCAGAGCUGCAGCAGAAUCACAAACACAGCACAGGUAUCUGUCAGCUGAUUGGUUCUCUCCAACAUGCUCCGCCCUCUGCUCUGCUUGUGUGCUCUCGUAACACUGACAGGUAAACACACACACCCGGCAGCCAUUUUGAAAGUGUCCUCACAAUACUCGAGUACAACAACAUAAGAGGGACGAUGAAGAAAGCUGUAAGUACAAAUAAUCUGACAUCGUCAGCAAACUUUCAUCUUUUUCCCACAAUUUUAAAUUAUUAUUUAACAUUAAAGUAAAACAAAGAACCAAAUAAACAAAAACAAUAACUCAAAGAAAACAAACAACAAUCUGCUCCUCCAUCUUCAACCCUCAACAUCCUCCAAUCAGAGCUCUGCUCCAGAGAAAACACAUAUUCAGAUUUACACAGAAAACAACAACAAACCAAAUGGAUCACAAACAGCAUAUCAUUCAUGAAAUCAAUAAAUACAGUUAAAGUUGAAUAAUUGAUUAUCUCCUUAUUAAAUUUGUGAAUGAAAAAUAAAAAUAAGCAACCAAAAUGUCACUGGGAUGUCGAGGCCAGGCUUUGUUUACUGACAGCUAACACUACCACUACUACUACAACUCUGACAGUACUAAACACAUCCGAAAGGAUUUAUUCAAUGAACUUCAACUCAUACUGAUGUGCAGAAAUUAUAUUCUACAUAAUCAAUCAACUGGCACCACCCAAGCCCACGUGACCCAACUGUUCCUAAUUACUGCGAUCAACCAAAACAACAUUGAUAAUAUCAAAAUUACUGAUCAUAAAAAUUAUUUAAAAAAAAUAAAUUACUUUUCACAACAGUCAGAGUGAAAAGUUUGAUCUUUUCAAUUCAGCUUCUUAUCUUUGCAAUUGUAUUUCCUUCAGCAUCCAGAAGUCUUAUCAAGCUGUCGUUCCCUGCUAUUUUUGUUUUCAAGAACAGCUAACUGAUGAUGUCAUAGUAAAACUUUACACUGAUUGGUGAACAAACGCUGUUUAAUCCAUUCAUGAAGUCAGUGUUUCAGCCUGCAGCUCUCCCUGUUUGUCCGACCAGCUAACAGACUGUAGCUCACAGCUCUCAUGUGUCUCUGUGUCUUCAGGUGCUCAGCGGUUCAUCACUGAGUCUUCAGUGGUGAACAUCAGCUCAUGUCCCAUCACGUAUUAUGGACAGAAGUACGAGCAGCUCUAUGUGAACAUAACAUCUGGAAAUGUUACCGUCUGUUUCAACGGCUUUUUCAGUCCUGAAACUGGAGGCGACUGUGUUGUGGAGCGUUCAGUGGGCGCAAAAAGAUUUUACUUUGGGACAUUUCUACAACCUUCCUCUGAUGAUGAGAAUUUCAUUUAUGAAAAUUUACCCACCAUUAAGAACAGUUUGGAAUGCUAUUUUUGGAUAUCUUUCUCUUAUUUUGGUUUGGAGCUGUAUCACUUUGGGACACAAACAGCUGUGGAGUUGUUCACAUUUGUCCCUGAUCCUGCGGAGUUUGAGCUUCAGGUCGGUGGAACCACAGUCGAUACAGUGAAUUCUCUUUAUUCAUCUCAAUGUUUGUUAGACAUCAGUGGAUGCAGACACUCAGGUCAGAUGUAUCGACCUGGUACAGUGAUCAACUCUCCAGAAACCUGCUUCAGUCUCACCUGUAAUGAGACCGCAGUCCUCCACAACUCCAGCUUUGUUCCGCUGCAGCAUUGUCAAGGCAA